UGGGGUAUAGCCAAGUCGGUUAAGGCACGGGACUUUGACUCCCGCAUCCGCUGGUUCGAGUCCAGCUACCCCAGCCA
rnacentral:tRNA from 5 species